GAUCAUGGCUCAGGAUGAAUGCUAGCGGCAGGCUUAACACAUGCAAGUCGAGGGGCAGCGGGGGAGUAGCAAUACUCCGCCGGCGACCGGCGCACGGGGUGCGUAACGCGUAUGCAACCUACCUUUAACAGGGGCAUAACACUGAGAAAUUGGUACUAAUUCCCCAUAACAUUCGAGAAGGCAUCUUCUUGGGUUAAAAACUCCGGUGGUUAAAGAUGGGCAUGCGUUGUAUUAGCUAGUUGGUGAGGUAACGG
rnacentral:rRNA from 1 species